GGGAACUGGUGGUCGAGGGGAUCGGAUGCCAGCUGCGGUGAGGGAUCUAGCACUCAAGGGAGCUGAUGAGACGGGUGUGACCGUGCGAGGCCACCGGCGGUCCAGGGGAUCCAACGAAGGCGAGGCGCCGGGAGGGAUCCGGUGCUAGAGCGGCUGCAUCCAGGGAACUCUUUGUGGGCAACCUGUUCUUCUCCAUGGUGCUCGCGCAAGGAGGUCGGGCCGUGCUCUGCAGAAUUCAGAAUGGAGGUGAUGGAGGGCACUGUACAAGAGAGGACAUGUGUAUGGGCAACAAUAGUGCAUCAGCUAAUGUUGUUGGCGGUGGUCAACUGAUUUGAGCAUAUUUGUAGACUGGUAGGCGCGCGGCCGUACUGCCUGAGUCACCACCGGAGAGAGGAUCCGAGAGGAGACGGGCAGAUGCUCCAGAGGAUUCUGUACAUCAAGCAACUUCCUCUUCAUCUAUACCCAAUAUCUCUAUUUUGAAAUGUUCACAUACUUGGUUCUCUCCCAUGUGACAUGUGACUAAAACUAAAAUUAACUAGAUGAUACCCCGCGCGUUGCUGCGGGA